AAGUCGUAACAAGGUUUCCGUAGGUGAACCUGCGGAAGGAUCAUUAUUGAAUAAACCUGAUGUGGUUGUAGCUGGCUCUUUCGGGAGUAUGUGCACGCCCAUCAUCUUUAUAUCUCCACCUGUGCACCUUUUGUAGACACGAAGGAUUGAGAAAUCAAUCGUUUGGGUUUACGUUUUAUCAUAUACCCCAUAGUAUGUAUUAGAAUGAAUCAAUGGGCUUUGUGCCUAUAAACAUUAUACAACUUUCAGCAACGGAUCUCUUGGCUCUC
rnacentral:misc_RNA from 1 species